GGAGGAGCUUACUUCAUCCAAAAUAAUAAGAUCAGAGUUUAUGGAGUUAAGUGUUUCAAAGUUUAAUGUUUCUUGUGCUGGGGGAGUCAAAGGGGAUAAAUUCUUUUCCAGCAUAGUUGGUCCUAAUGAUAGAGAAGAGCAGUUCAUGUUUAAUGUGCUUUUAAGAGGAAGCUGUUCCAGGAAUGGAUCCAAGUUUCCAGAGUUUGAUAUAUUUUUGCUGCUGAUCGAGGAAAACUUCCUCCUCUCAUGUGAAGAGAUAAGGUUUGUUGUUGGAGUUCUCUUUGUGAACAAGGAAAUUGGACUGGCCAGGUUUGUGAAAUGUCUCUGAACGGAUAUUCCAUGGUAGCUGAGAAGGGAUUUAUUUGCAAUUAUCCGUGCUGUUGUCUCAGCCGAUUUAAAGAAUUUCCUUAGUCCCUGCUCCAAGCACAAGACCAUCACAACACUCAACAUCUGGAGAGCACCAGGUUGGGGAAGGCUGCUCAAGUGUCUCAGGCCUUCCGCAUCAGCUGCUACCUGACCCUUCUGAACUGGAGACGGCAUGGAAUGGCCUUGGGGACUUCUGCUCCAGUGCUCAGCUUUCAUCCCUCCUGAAACCCAGAGCGCUCCAUCAAUCCACCUUGAGAUGGAGGAUGGAGAAAGGUGUGAGAAACUAGCCUGCUGUACAAAGAAUCGUCAAGAAACCCUGGGCAUGUAGCAGCAAGCAAGUUCAAUCUCCGGGGUUUGAACCCUGAUGGCUCCUUUAUACAUGGCACCAAGGAGCCCCUCUUGGAAGCAUAAACUACAUGGAAGAACCAGCCAAAACAGACUGUUCUGCCAAAAGGAUCUGAAGGAUUACAGAAGGAAAGAAGACCUCUGGAACAAGUGGUGCAAAGCAGCACUGCAGAACAUGAUUUGUUGUUUAUGUGCCUUCAAGUUGAUUACGACUUAUGGUGACCCUAUGAAUCAGUGACCUCCAAGAGCAUCUGUCAUGAACCAUCCUGUUAAGAUCUUCUCAUUGGGGUAGAAAACCACCAUGAAAUAUCAGCCAAAUUCAAAAGAUCUUGAAGAAACCCAGAAGAGAGCCUUCAAGAAAAAGAAACACCCUCUGCAUAUGUGGAUCUCAAAAUGCCUUGCCUCAUUUGCCCCAAAUAUCAACUCCUGAAGGGAAGCCGGUUGGAUAGAUAUUUGCAUAUCUAGGAGCUACCUGGAGAUGCUGUGGAAUUGAACCUGGGAUCUUCGGUAUGUAAGGCGGAUACUCUGCCACUGAACUAUGGCCCUUCCCAGUGGCCCUUUGUCCCCCGACUGGUAGUAGAGGUCAGAGUGUGCUGCCUUUCACAUGACAUGCUGAAGACCAUCAAGAAGAAAAAGAAGAAAACAGGUUGUGUCGCCAUUUUUAUUCGAUACAGGCCAUGUAGGCUACUGAACACAUAGUACAGACUAGCAGCAGGCUAAUAACGCAGCUAGUGAAUAUGCUACAUUACAACUGCUCACAAUACAGCCCAUUUAAAUAUAAAUUCUCAUACUGCAUAUAAACAUAAUUCCAUUGUACUCAAUGGGCCGUGAACAUUUAAAAAAUCCACUGGAAUAGUUCCCAUUUAUCUUUCUUAUGAAUGAUCAUUUUUGUUCCCUCUGUAAAUACAUCUCAGAGUUAAAGUUCUGUGGUCGUUCAUUAGUUCCAGCUGCCUUCAUCUACACAUCUCAUUUGUAACAUCUUAAAAAAUAACUACAUCGCUACUUAAUUGUUUUAAAAAAUAUUUUGCUACUUUUUAAGAUCUUUGGCAAAUAUUCCCUUGAACUUUAUUUUGUACAUGCCAACUGCUCUGGUUUUAAUUUUACAUGCUAGAAUUAAAUGCCUUUUCAUGGAGGAUUUUCAUGGAGGAUUUUCCCAGCCAUACUUUUAGACCAACUGAAGCCAAACAUACAGUGACAGAGCACUAUUCAAACUACUGGAGUAGUGCCAUUGACAUAAAGACAAUACACCUGUGUGAGCCUGCUCUGAAUGAACCACCUACAAGUAGCCAGGUCCUACACAGUAGGAAGAACACUGAAAAAAAUGUGGUGCAAAUAUUUUAAAUAUUACACACACACUAUCAACACCCAGAUGCCAUACUGUUUCGAGUUACAUGCCGCCCCCGCCCCCCAUCUGUUAGCAUUACUGGACACGCUAAAUAAAAAUUAAAAGGAGGUCCCGAACACUCAGGUGCUGACCAGGAAAGAAAGCCUGAAUUGCUGGGCUGAGUGAUGGGAUAAACCAGAUUCAUUCAAGCAUUCAAGCUUGCUGGUAAGUGCCCUGCACUCUCCUGCCAAGAUUUUCGGUGUGGAAUCCUUCCAAAGGAUAGGAGCCAAGCGUUCCCAAUGACCUGAAUUUUGGAUGUGGUAGUCUGCACCCAUUUUAGGGUGGAGGAGGCAGGGUGUUCAGUGCUUCAGCAUCCACUCCUCCCCCCCCCAAUUUACAAAAGGCACUUAUGGACUUAAUAAGCAUGACUUUGGACACCACGACCUCAGCCUCAUUAUCCGUUUGUGGGGGCCAAAGGCUAUUGGUGGUCAAGCAUGAUGGCUCAGGUCCUUCAGCGCACUGGCACAGACUUGGGCCUCCAAGUUGGAUUAAUGGGACAGGGAAAGGAUGAUCCGAGUAGAUUUGGUGGUUUUCUAUCCUCUGAAGGCACACAGAGGACUGCCAAAAACAAGAGGAAGAGAAACUAGAGUCUAGUAUUGCCUUUACCAGAUUUUUUUUAAAAAAAAUCUAUGUACAGCAGGGGUAACAAACAUGGCGUCCUCUAGAUGUCACUGGACUCCAACUCCCAUCGUCCCUGAUCACCGGCCAUGCUGUCUGGGGCUGUUGGGAGUUGUAGUCCAACAAAUAUCUAGAGCAGCCUUUCCCAACUAGUGGGCCACUGGUCAGGAAAGAUGGGAAUUGUGGUCCAACAACAUCUGGUGGCCCACUGGUUGGGAAAGGCUGAGAGCCACCAUGUCGACCAUCUGUGAUGUACAGAAUAGUCAGUCUCAGGACAGAAGUAGGUGAAAUGGCAACAGAUCUGUGCUUUUGAACAUUAAUCUGCUGUAUAUGCGGUGCAAAACAGAAAGGGGGGAAUCUGAUUUAAGGAUCAAAGCAGAAAUUGAAGGGAACAUGGAUCCCUCUCCCCACACAUUACGUAGCCGUCUGCAGCAGCCCAAGAUUCGGAGCAUUUGGGGAGAAAAGUGACACUUUUGCUCAUGACUAGUGCACACACACACACACACUUUUUACACGAUUGCAGCAGAUCGAUGUUUUAAAAGCACACAGAUCUAGCAUUGCUUUAAAUGAAAAAAAAGUCAUCACAGCAGCAUAUUUUUUUUACCAGUUCCAUACAAUGCAGUUCCUUUGAAACAACAAGAGUUUUAGCAUUAUCCUGUAAUGAGAAAGAGCAGCCUCAGGCUAUGCUUUACAAGCAGAUCAGAAGAGUCUGGGUGGAGGUGGGGAAGAAGAGCUGAAAAAGUGGGACAUAAAUGCUUUAUGUUUCCAUCAUCUAGUGGGAGGGAGGGAGA